rnacentral:rRNA from 1 species
UACGUAGGGGGCGAGCGUUAUCCGGAAUUACUGGGCGUAAAGCGCAACGCAGGCGGUUCGCCAAGUUUGGAGUGACAGUUGUCGGCUCAACCGACAAAGGACUUCAAAAACUGGUGAACUUUGAGGACGAGAGAGGAACAUGGAACUCCAGGGUGUAGUAGUGAAAUGCGUAGAUAUCUGGAAGAACACCGAAUGGCGAAGGCAAUGUUCUGGCUCGUUUCUGACGCUCAGGUGCGAAAGCCAGGGAGC